UACGAAGGGGGGCUAGCGUUGCUCGGAAUCACUGGGCGUAAAGGGUGCGUAGGCGGGUCUUUAAGUCAGGGGGUGAAAUCCUGGAGCUCAACUCCAGAACUGCCUUUGAUACUGGGAGCUUGAGUCCGGAAGAGGUGAGUGGAACUCCGAGUGUAGAGGUGAAAAUUCGUAGAUAUUCGGAAGAACACCAGUGGCGAAGGCGGCUCACUGGUCCGGUACUGACGCUGAGGUGCGAAAGCGUGGG
rnacentral:rRNA from 1 species